UACGUAGGGACCAAGCGUUGUUCGGAUUUACUGGGCGUAAAGGGCGCGUAGGCGGCGUGACAAGUCACUUGUGAAAUCUCUGGGCUUAACUCAGAACGGCCAAGUGAUACUGUCGCGCUAGAGUGCAGAAAGGGCAAUCGGAAUUCUUGGUGUAGCGGUGAAAUGCGUAGAUAUCAAGAGGAACACCUGAGGCGAAGGCGGGUUGCUAGGCUGACACUGACGCUGAUGCGCGAAAGCCAGGGGAGCAAACGGG
rnacentral:rRNA from 1 species